rnacentral:rRNA from 1 species
CACCUCUAGCAUUUCAAGUAUUAGAGGCACUGCCUGCCCAGUGACUAUAGUUUAACGGCCGCGGUAUCCUGACCGUGCAAAGGUAGCAUAAUCAUUUGUUCCUUAAUUAGGGACUAGUAUGAACGGCUAGACGAGGGAUCAACUGUCUCUUAUUUUUAAUCAGUGAAAUUGACCUUCCAGUGAAGAGGCUGGAAUACAAUAAUAAGACGAGAAGACCCUAUGGAGCUUAAAUUAACAAGCUUAAUUAUUACACUACUAUACCCUAAUGGCACAAAACAAAAAAUAUAAGCUUAAAAUUUUGGUUGGGGUGACCUCGGAGAAUAAAAAAUCCUCCGAAAGAUAUAUAACAUAGACCUACAAGUCAAAGUAACCCAAUUAUCCAAUUGACCCAAAAAAUUGAUCAACGGACCAAGUUACCCUAGGGAUAACAGCGCAAUCCUAUUUAAGAGUUCAUAUCGACAAUAGGGUUUACGACCUCGAUGUUGGAUCAGGACAUCCCAAUGGUGCAGAAGCUAUUAAUGGUUCGUUUGUUCAACGAUUAAAGUCCUACGUGAUCUA